GCUUCCAGGAUAGCUCAGUCUGUAGAGCAUGAGACUUUAUCUCAGGGUUGUGGGUUCGAGUACCAUGUUGGGCA